rnacentral:rRNA from 1 species
UUCGUUCCCUUUUUUUUGGGGGUGGGGUUAGUGGCGAACGGGUGAGUAACACGUGAGUAACCUGCCCCUCACUUCUGGAUAACCGCUUGAAAGGGUGGCUAAUACGGGGUGUUCUGGCCUGCUCGCAUGGGUGGGUUUGGAAAGAUUCGACCGGUUUUGGUUGUUUUGGUGGGGGAUGGGCUCGCGGCCUAUCAGCUUGUUGGUGGGGUGAUGGCCUGCCAAGGCUUUGACGGGUAGCCGGCCUGAGAGGGUGGGCGGUCACACUGGGACUGAGACACGGCCCAGACUCCUACGGGAGGCAGCAGUGGGGAAUAUUGCACAAUGGGCGCAAGCCUGAUGCAGCGACGCCGCGUGAGGGAUGGAGGCCUUCGGGUUGUGAACCUCUUUCGCCAGUGAAGAAGGUCCUGCUCUUUGUGGUGGGGUUGACGGUAGCUGGGUUAAUGAAGCGCCGGCUAACUAC